GGAGGAUGUCCGGGUGGUGAGGGAGCUGCCUUGAAAGCAGUCGCCCCGUCAGGGGUUGCAGGUUCGAAUCCUGUGUCCUCCG
rnacentral:tRNA from 1 species